CAUCACAAGCCCAUCGGCGAGCCACAGCCAGCGCACAGACAACCGACCGUGUCCGGCCCAGCGUUCCAGCCAUGCGUCUGCAAAUGACCAUUCUCCUGGCGGCGUGCGUCGCCGCCACAUCGGGCUGUUUCUACUUCUGCAAGCGGCCGGGGCCAAAUGGCGAAAAGGAGCUGUACUGCUGUGACAACAACAAGCCGGGCCGGUGUCCGCCGGUGCGGGACGACUGCCCAGCCUUUGCCAGCUUCAGCGGGCCGCAGUAUUGCACCACGGACGGUGACUGCACUGGCAGCAUGAAGUGCUGCUACGACAAGUGCGCAGCGAGAACCGUCUGCAAGACGGCCCUGUGAUGAGGUGCAGUCGGCUGGCGAGCAGGAGGCGGCGGGACACGGCAUCUGCCCCGCCCCGGCCCGGGUGCUCACCUCCUCCGUCGGCAGCCACACUGACACCCCGCAUACGGUGUCGAACGUGACGUGAUGUAACAUGGCAUCGCUCAAUACAAUGUCCACGCUUCUUCUCUUA
rnacentral:lncRNA from 1 species